CUCGAAUUAAAAAGAGCUAUAAUUAUAUAAAUUUAACUGUUGCAUAAUUUUUUAUAAUAUAGUUAUAGUAAUGAAACGUUAGUCGUUUUUUAAUAUAUCUAGUUUCUUAAGAAAUAAAUUUAAUUUAGUUUUUUAAUAGUAUAGUAUUUAUUGGUAAGUAAUAUAUAUUAAGAAAAUAAUAUUUUAAGGGAUAAGCUUUAGAAUAAAUUAUUAGAAAUAUGUUUUAUUAUAUAGAAAAUUUAUAGGAUUGGAAAUGUUUAUUAAUAGUUUGUUAUAAUUAAUUUUUUAUUAAAUAAGAUUUAUAUUAGUUUUAAUUUUUUUAUUAAGAAGAUAUAUUAAAUUAAAUUUUAUAUGUUAUAAUGAUAAAAUUAGUAUAGUUUUUUGUAUGUUAUAAUUUAGUAUCAAGGUUAAGUUAAGGAACUCGGCAAAUACACUUUUCGCCUGUUUAUUAAAAACAUGUCUUUUUGAUUAUAAUUUAAAGUCUAACCUGCCCAAUGAGGAGUUAAAUGGCCGCGGUAUCUUGACCGUGCAAAGGUAGCAUAAUCAUUAGUUUUUUAAUUGAAAGCUGGUAUGAAUGGUUGGACGAGAGAGUAGCUGUCUCAAUUUAAGUUAAAUUAGAAUUUUAUUUAUAAGUAAAAAAGCUUAUAUAGGUUUAAAAGACGAGAAGACCCUAUAGAAUUUUAUAUAUUUAUAUGUAUAUUAUUUUUAGAAUGGAUAUUUUUAUAUAUAUUAAUAUAUUUUGUUGGGGCGACAGAAAAAUUUAAUAAACUUUUUUUAUAUUUAAACAUUAAUAUAUGAUUAAUUGAUCCGUUAUUUACGAUUAUAAGAUUAAAUUACCUUAGGGAUAACAGCGUAAUUUUUUUUUAGAGUUCAUAUCGAAAAAAGAGUUUGCGACCUCGAUGUUGGAUUAAAAUUAACUUUUGGUGUAGGGGCUAAAAGGUUAGGUCUGUUCGA
rnacentral:rRNA from 1 species